UACAGAGGGUGCGAGCGUUAAUCGGAAUUACUGGGCGUAAAGCGUGCGUAGACGGUUAUGUAAGUCGGGUGUGAAAGCCCCGGGCUCAACCUGGGAAUUGCAUUCGAGACUGUGUAGCUAGGGUACGGAAGAGGGAAGCGGAAUUUCAGGUGUAGCGGUGAAAUGCGUAGAUAUCUGAAGGAACACCAGUGGCGAAAGCGGCUUCCUGGUCCAGUACCGACGUUCAGGCACGAAAGCGUGGGGAGCAAACAGG
rnacentral:rRNA from 1 species